UUGAAAGGGAAACGAUUGAAGUCAGUCGUACCGACGAGAAAUCAACUUUUCGAAUGUGCAUUUGUGGGCGUAUGAGAUCUUCAUUGUUUACAAUAUGUAUGUUUCUUUGGUGUACUUUUUCGUAUGGUAGGUCAAUGUCGGUUUUGAUCGCCAUAAAAUGAUCGGAGGAAUGUAGCUUCGGCUUCGGUUGAAGUGUUAUAGCCUUUGGUAAAUGUGGUGAUUAAGACCGAGGAUUGCAACGAAUACCUUUUAGGCUAUCCGUCUGACCUCUGGAAGUUACUUAGGUGCCGAAAGCUUGCUUACGGUCAUUUAAGUUGACGGUCAAUAGGUUAGAACGUGAUUACAUUCGUUAAGGAUGUUGACGUA
rnacentral:rRNA from 1 species